GGCCCUUCCUCCGGUUUAGUAGCAGCAUAUUUAUUGGAGAGAUACAAGCUGGCAUAUUCCGCAUAGCCAACUUCUAAACACGCUCCUAAUGCCUUAUGAAUAUGAAUAGUGCUUUAUCCUAAGGAUGUAACACAGCACUUUCAAGUGUAUCUAAUCAGUUCUAGGAAAUGUAAAAAUAGCAUCUAAUUAGGCCCACAGCUCAUUUGUGGAUUAUAGGUUGUAGGUUGUGUUGCCUAAAAAAACGUGAGGACGAUGAUCUCACCAGGCCUCUGGUCCCUAUCUAGCUAAUUGGCUGCCUCUUUCGGUUGGGUUUUGUUUUUAAACAAAACAAUUAGGAAGUUUACCCUCUCUUCUUAAUUUGAACCAGAGCCCUGACUCAACAGACUCCGGUCCUCAGGGCUGGGUGGCAGGUCCGACUCGUAUCUUGUCUGAGUUGAGCCUGUGUUUUCAGACAUGCAACUGAAGGGGUGGGACUGGAGGCACAGGUAGGGCUGGAGGUUUAUUUAUUGUAUGUUGAGGUUGAAGAUUCAAGACAGGUUCUGUCUCGUCUCCGAGCAAUUUAGUUUCAAGAUAGAUUGGAGUUCAGAUCCAAGCAUUCCUAGGAAAUGCAGGAAGAUCAUUUUCAUGGGGUUCAUCAGAAAAAUGCACCGUAAAGCAGCUUAAUAUUGACUUACUUUUAAUUACUUGCACCAAACCCUAACCCUAAACCUCUGCAUAAAUGUUGACUAUGAGUUCCAUGUCUAGAUCUCAGUCUCUCAUGGACAUUUUUUUUUCAUUAAUAAAAGAUAGUCCUAUGGA